UAUCCAAUAAAACCGCUCGACUGUUGACCUUAAAUGACUGGGAGAAUAUAUUAACCCAGUAAAGUGCAAGAUCUGCGCAAUGUUAUGUAGGCCGUCAUCAGGAAUGGAAGGGCAAAGUGACCUGCGACUAGAUAUAAUGGAAACCAGCAUGUAGAAGGAAAGGGAUGGGUCCUAUAACUGAACCAGAGUCGCAGGACGCCAAAAGUAAAAAUGACAGAAAGGACGCAAGUCAAGUAAAUAGCGUCUUGAACUGGCGUAAAAAAUGGUCCUUAGAAGCCAGAUACAAUAGCUAAAACUGUAUCUUACUGGUGAAGAACAUGGUCCUUACAAGACAGAUCCCAAAGCUUAAACUGCUAACUAACUGGCGUAGUACAUGGUCCUGAGAAGACACAUACAAGAGCUAAAACUGCAACACACUGGCGUAGAAAAUGGUCCUUAGAAGUCAGAUACAAGAACUAAGUCUCACGUCUAGACCAAGGAGUAUGAAGUGUACACUGUGUAAUUGAGACAAAGAAAAUUGUUACCAACUUAGAUAAAAAUUUCUUUAAUAUCACCAGGGCCAAUUUAACUUAUCAUAGAAAAUGCAUAAUAGAUUUUGAAUUAAAGUAGAAAACGUGUUUUACCACCGUGAAUUUUAAUCAAGAUGUGCCAUACUUGUAUUAUCGAUUGCUUUGAUUACUAUGUGCCAUAUAUACUUAUUUUAAGAUUUAACUCUUUAUGUUAUUGUAUGCAUAAAUUUGUAUGUAAGUGUGUCAGUUCCUACAAUUCAGCUAAAAAAACACUUUUAUAAAAAAAAAAAAAGAUUCUUCUUCAUUGUACUUCUGUCAACAAAGACACUGUAUAUAUAUAAAGGCAGGUCCAGCUCCGAGUGUUUCAAAUUCAAAUUUGACAAAAAUAUAACAUUUUACAUUUUUUGUCACUGAAGGGAAUAUUAUUUUGUUUUUACCACUGUAGCUGAUCCUGCCUGCAUAAUCAUGUAUUCCUAGAACUAUUACUGAUACUAUGUAUCUAUAAUAUUAUAAUUGCUUUCAGGUUUGAACAGUUUCAAUCUAAUGUAGUAUGAUUGUUUAGGUCAGGCUUAUCCAUAGAAUGUAUUAUCAAUGUUAGCCUGAUCUGUCUUCUAAACACUAGUCUGGGUUUCAGUGUUAUUUGGUCUUUAAGUAUCAGUCUUCCUUGUUAUAAAAAUCGUUACUUCCAUGGUCCAAUCUUAUAUGAUAUGGUCAUAUUUGUAUAUCAACUGUUUACAAACUAGACAACCUGCACCUUAUAAAUUGAAAACUGUUCAAACCUGAACAUAACUUUACAUUUAAACAUUAAGAAGCCAGUAAAACACAGUAGAAAGGCUUUAAAAGUUAUUACUGUUGUUUCAGAUUGUAAACAAGAGAGGGGGAGAGAGAGCACGAUAGGUAUUGUCAUAAGCUGUUUUUAUGAUGAUGAGAGUAUGCGAGUAUUUAUGCAAUUGUAUGAUUGAAGUUUGGACAUCAGAGUAUUAAGACAUUGUCUGUUAGAUUGAAUGUGUCUGUUUGUCUUAAACUAAUGAUCAUUUAUAUGAAAUGCAAGGUAGGGUAGUAGUUAUUGUACUGUUAAGGCUCACUUCUAAAGUGAACCAGUAUGUAUGAGAGUGGUAUAGAUGUAC